ensembl:lincRNA Gm11587 predicted gene 11587
AGUCCCCGCCACACACUCGGUUACUGGCCUGUUCGCACAUCCAGUCCAGCAGGUGAUAGGUAAUUUUCACCUCACCCUGUCUGGAGAGAAGAUGACGCCAUGAUCUAAGAAAGUGCUCCUGUCAGUGUGCCUUGCUUUGCAGCAGUAAAACUCCUACACAGAUCACUAAGCAGCAUGAAAAGAAUCUAGGGCCUAUCUCCGCCUUUGCUCAGGAGACCCAUCAACUCUCACCAUCAUGUCCCACAGAGUCUUUGUUAAUGGGAAUUCUGUUCCAGUCAUAGGACCCUUCCAGGCUGCUAGCACUCCUAUCUCCAGGGAGACAAAUUUUACUUCAAGAAAAAUGGCACUCCUUCAUUUCCAAUGUGUCUGCUGGCAUUGAAAGGACUGGGAAGGUGUAGCUCACAGCUCGGGCUGACAAGGUGGCUCACGGAGUCAACCCUGUGGAGUGUUGUGGAGUGUGACCGGCCUGCAGGCGUUAGGGUGAUAUCUUUCCUGGGAAAUGACCUGAGGAAUCUCAGUAAUGAGAUUCCAAGCAGGAGUCCUGAGAGGCCUGCUAGUACCAAUCCACUUCUAGAAUCAACUCGAGCAGACUCCGCCAAGCGUGCAGUGGAGUGCUUUGGAGGCAUGAUCUGACAUUCGUUAAACAAGGAAGAGCAAGCCUACAACUUUGACUCUUCUUCACCACCUUUCAGACAGGACAGCAUGCUCAUCUCCUCUGUGGAUUCUGUCACCCAAGGGAUUUCUGACCCUGCAGAGGUCAACCAGCAACACUGCAGGAAAAUAAAAGUCUGGCAAGCCAGAAUUCUGUUAUAAAACGAACUUUAUGGCCUAAACUGACCACAGUGAAAUAGCAGCCUUUUUCUCUGGUCUUCUGUAUCCUUCUCCUUAAUUGAAUGGGAUAUCUGAUAUGCAACCCCUGUAGAGGCCAAGACCCACAGGUGGAGAACUGCUGUUCUAAAAGCUCUGGCCUUUCAGAGAUAGAUGCCUUAUUGAGGAAGCUAUCACUUUGUACACCACCUCCCAUACAGGGAAAGAUUUUGAAUCAAGAAGAAAAACUAGGGGAAGGGUAUAGGAAACUUUUGGGAUAGAAUUUGAAAUGUAACUGAAGGAAAUAUCUAAU